rnacentral:lncRNA from 1 species
CCACCGCCGGAGGCUCUGUAGCCGGCCAGCACCCCCUCUUCCCUCCUGGGAUUGAUCCAGAGCCGUUCGAUCUAAAACCAACGCGCCAGAUUAGAACUUACCCCUUCGGGGUGAUUUUAUUAAAGAGCCCCUGACGUUUUUAUAUAUGAAACCCGCGGUCCAAAACGUACAGCAUCAAAUACGCUUUCUGAGUUGGAAGACGUAAAGUCUGCCGGCUUGUUUCCAAAUUACGUUUUCAGUAUUUACAGUUUUGCCACCAGAUUUAAAUUGCUUAUAACAUGCUCAUCUUAAAUCCGUUUUGGUCCAUUCAAAUUGCGUUAGGUUCGUAAUUAUGAGCUUUACAUGUUAGUAACAUUAUUUUCUCAGUUUGAAAUCUUUUAAUUUCGUGAUCCUACUUAAUUAAUUACCUUCCUAUAUAAAAUCUUAGAAAAUUCAUAACUUCACCGUUUUAAUUCCGAUUUUCGUGAUCUUUACGUCUAUGAAAUCGUAGCGAUGCGCAGAAUCAUUUUAUAAACUUUUCAUACUGUUUUUAUAUGAUUGGUGUACUGUUCUAAUAGUAGACUUGUUUGCUUCGUGUAUGUUUUCUCCGAUUGUUUGUGUGAUCGAUGAUCGAGUUUAGACGGGGAGCCGUUUCGGUGAUCAAGAUCAAAGCUUUGGCAACAAGUGAGACCAGCAGAACCAAAAGGAUUAGCAAGAUCAUUGGAUCGAGGCAAGUAUAGCAUUUGGAUUAUAUUUCUGUGACCCGUGAUCCUGUGACUAGAUUAAUGUUAAGUAAUAAAUGAUAAAAAUGACUUUUUAGCCACUUGAUGAUUUAUCUGUAAGUGAUAACCGGGACAACAGUGCAACCAUGAGGGCUAUAAUGGCUCUGGCUUUAGUUAAGUAUGAGUAACUUUUCUAGCUCGUUAGCGGUUACCCGUUGUGGCGCAGUUGGGGAAUAGCAGACCGUGGAUUCCUGCGGGUGAAUCACACGGACUGACUAAUGAAACCAAGCGGCCCUAACUUGUUAGACGAACCUUUGAAAGACUUCAUAGUGAUCCCUGCCGACCUCCCUAGGAAGGGGGUUAAGAGACUAGCUACCUCGGGCGAAAGGGUAAAUCAUGACUCAUGGGUAAAGAUGUGCAACCUCUGCAGAGGGUUAAAAACUAGUAUACUAGCCGAGCUCACGGUCAGGAGCGGCCUUGGGGAUUCUUGCGGCGGUGAUGAUGAUUCUUGUGUGUUAAAUAUGCCCAUUAUUUAUUAUUUAAUGCUCUACAUUAUUUAUGUCACAUUGAUCAUGAGAUUGUGGGAGCUAUAUAAUCUAGUUGCUAUACUUGUGGAGUUCGACAUGGACUCACUCUUGCUAUUUCCCCCAAACCUCAGGAGAAGUUUAGGCUUGUGAUCAACCAGUCAGUUGGAUCCUGUAGAGUGGAGUUAAUACCCGAAGUUGGAGUUAUCUAUCCGCUGUUUGCUUUUAAAGGUUAUCUCUUUUAUACUAAGUACGUUAUAUAUUUAUGCAUUGUCUUUUGAUAUUACCCCUUAUUUGUAGCUAUAUAUGAGAAUUGACUCCUAAAACUCAUAUAUAGUGUAUAUCUGGUUUUGUCCUUAAAAUCGGGUAUUACAAAGUGGUAUCAAAGCAAUGCUGACUGUAGGACGCAAGCCUAGUUAGAACUGGACGUUUUGGCAUGCUUCUAUCUUUGCUUACUUCUUGCUUUUCGCCUUGACCUUGAUAGUUGCUAAAAGUUAUGCUUACCUCUUGCCUAGUUCUUUUAUAAAAUCUUGUCUCUAUUCUAAAUCCUCUCUCUUUGUCUCUUUAGAUGGAUCAUAACGAGGAGACCUUUGACAAGAAGGAACGAAAGCACCCAGAUUUUCCAACCGUAAAAGCAUUCGACAUGGAGAAGCUUCUAGCCAUGCAAACACAAGUAGUGGAAGGAAUAACUCAGAAUAAGAACUCUCAACAACGUAUCUCAGGACCCGUGAGGAGACAAGUAGCAGAAGCUUGGAAAAAUAUGAGAAAUCAUGGAAGCGUUGGGAGUAAUACAUCAGGAUAUCAGGAUCAAUGCCACUGUUGUGAGCAUUAUGGUCUUCCUUGUCUUCGGAAUAUGUCAUCUAAGAAGGAAGUUAAGACAAAACCAACCUGUGUGACUAAUGAGGAUAAGAAGAGGAAGGCAAAAGCACUAGAGCCGAGAUUGGGAAGUGAUCAACACCCAAAUCCCAAGAUGUCACAUGUAGCUUCAAAUUCUCGUCAGGAAAACUCAAACCUUGGAGAUGAACAGAUUCCCCAAGCUAAUCCCACUGCUCAUGAGGUAUGCAUAGAUGGGUGGACAAUUACUUAUAGAGAGUUUCAACCUCGGAGGAUCAAGCAAUGUAGAAAGAAAUCUAACCAGACAAAGAUAAACCAUCAGAGUAUGCAAGUUGAUAACACACCGAACAACACUUCAGUGGAAAAUAACAUCACAGAGGAACCAGCUAAGAGAAGGUGUUAUCACUGUCAACAAGAAGGACAUUAUAUAAGCUCUUGUCCACAAAAGAAGCAACAGAUGCAUCGUGAAGAUAACCACACUAAGUCUAAGAUAUAGGUGUCCGUGUCCCCUGGUGUAAUAAAAACGCUAGUAGCGAAAGUUGAGUUUGUAUGACUUGUGAACCUUUAAUGCUUAAUUGCUUGUUAUUAUGUUUAUGUUUGAUUUGGAUCUUUGUAAUGAGUGUAAUGAUUUUGUGAAGUUCUUCACAAUUUCAUUUAGUUUAUAGCACUAAGGCAUACGGAAUAAUGGCAUAAGUAGUUGGGUUUGGUUAUAUCCUGUUUCUGUCUUUUGCUGAUUUCUGGAGCAGUCUGCAAUAAUCAUAGUGUAUAUCAAGAUCUGAUCGUGCAAAUUUUACUAAACUUUUCUGGAAACAACUAGACUCCAAGAUCUUUCUCUGACCACAAGAAUCACCCUCAUAGCUGUUAUGGUUUGGAAGUUACAAAAAUCACAACAGGAUACAACUGUGCUGUCAAGAACCUGGACCAGUUUCGGUUGCUUACUGUUUUAGACAUAUAUAACUAUAGAAUUUGGAAGAGUAUUCUAUAGAAAAGUUGUAGACAAUUUUCUAUUCUUUCCAACGGUAUAAGCUGGAACUUAUUUGGAUAAGUAGAACCUGAGAUAUGAUAUUUACAAUUGGAUAUUUCUGUUCUGUUUCAAAAUCUGGAUAGAUCUGGCAAUUCCUAUUCUCAGCCAAGCUUAAAGACAGAAUCUGGGGAAAAGUUGUAUACGAAAGUUGUAAAGGAUUUCAUAAGCUUUUCAACAAUGUAAGGAUCAUCUCCAUAUGAGUUAAGUAGCUCGAGGUAUAAUUUCUGGAAUUUACUGCAUCCUUGCUGAGAUAUUAUCAGGAAGGAUAUUAUGUUUGGCUGUUUUACCUGAGCCUAAAUACAGAACCUAAGGACGUCUUCUACAGGAAAGUUGUAGGGAAUUUCAUAAUCUUUCUAACGGUAUAAGCUACAACUCUAUUGGAUUAACAGAAUGGGAGUUAUACCUGUUUUUCUAUGCUGGUGUUUUUCAUAUCGCGGGAAAAUUUCAGGAUACAUGUUUGUUCUCUUGCACAGAAGCUCUUUGGGAUGUCAUAAGUUCUCAAUGUUAGUUAACUUGUCUGGAAAAUAUGCAAGCUACCUUUCUUUUGUCCCCUAGUUGACUUUUCUUAAGGGGGUAGCCUAGUUAAAGAAGUUACAACGAGAAGGAUUGACUAGUGUUGGAUCAUACGGGAGUAUCACAAACGCUGGGUAAAUUUGUUUUGGUUCAAGAAUAUCAUCUCAUUUAGAGAAUAUCAAUGGAGGUAUAUGUCAUUGCUGAUACUCAUGGAUUAAGAGUUGUGUAUGAGGAUCAGAUGACACCAAAGGCUACAAAGUUACAUAUACAAUAUGAGAGUGAAACAACUUAAUUGCGAUAAAGGUACCAAUAGAUGGAACUUAGUGUUGAAACCAACCCUGGAUUAAGAGACUUGGUACAAGGAAUUUAAAAGACUAUGAUGUGUAGCGUCUAAAAAGGACAGGAGAACUAGUCCCUAGUGUCCCCCAAUCAACCUCGUCUUAAGGGGGGUAGUACCUUGAUAUCACGAGUGAUGCAUUUUAAGACUAGCUUGGAGUGAUAAUUGUCUUCUAAGAUAUUCUAUGGUUAUGAUCAUCUAUCCUUGCCGUGUUACUGACGUUGGUCACUUGAUGACAGGGAGUGUAGUGUUCCAUGAAUCCGGAGCACAAUAUGACACCUCUCAUGGAUAGGUGGGAAGAAUAUGAUCAUCUUGAUUUUGAAGAAAGAUGCUAUGAGUAUGACAAAGCUGAGUGUUAUCAAAAUAACAAUAUGGAAGAGCAAGUUGACAACGAAUCAAAUCAAAAUCCACAACGACGGAAGCGUAAAAGGAAAGCUCGUAAGAAGCCUGCUCUCGGAAAUAAAGUACAGCGAAAUUAUAUCAAUGGAAGACUGAACAAUGUGGAUAUGCAUAACAUUCAAGGAGCCACCAAAGUGGUGGGAGGCUAUAUUCAAGUGGACUCAGUACUAGUUUUUGCUCUGUUUGACCGAAGUGCUUCACAUUCUUUUAUUUCCGCUGACUUGGUAAAGACAAUCGAACGGAUGAAGUGUCCGACGAGAAAGCCUUUGUUAGUUCAAACCCCAAUGGGAGAAAUACAGGCAGAUCAGGUUUGCUCCAAUAUCAAUCUUGUCAUAAAGAAGGAAAACUUCACUGUAAACCUCAUUGUGCUAGAGUCACUCAAUAUUCCUUUGGUUCUUGGCAAUGGAUGGUUAUGUGCACACAGGGCAGUGAUCUAUGCUACCCAGUGGAAAAUAUUCUUAACUGCACCAUCAGGGAAAAGAAUUGAGUAUCAAGGUGGUCCACUCCUACCUGAGGAGGCAUAUCCAUGCCGAGAUAUCAUGUCUUUGAGUUGUAUAAGUUGAAAAGUGGUAGUCAAGAUGGACAGAGGGCAAUUACGAAUAAUAGACAUCAUAUGGAAGUUUUGUUUACAAGUUGUAAUCCCGAAACAUAAGUGCUUGCAUUUGGAAUACAAGUUGUCAAGUUGAAAUAAUGAUCAAUAUCUUGUUCCUGUUUCUCUUUUGGAAUCUGUGCCUCUUCCGAAUCUCGAGGACGAGAUUCAUUUCAAGGGGGGGUAGAUUUGUAACACCCUAAAUUUUGUUCUUUUAGAAAUAGAUGAAAAAUAAUUUAAUUUUGAAUUUUUGUGCUCAUGAAACAUAAGAAAAGUAAUAUUUUUCAUUAAAAUAAAAAUUUAAUAUAAGGCUUAGCAACUAUUGUGUGUAAAUCAUGCUGGUGCAUUUUAUUUUUGAGAUGAGUGAUUUUGACCAAAGUUUGAAAUAUUUCAAACAGAUUUCUAAAUGGAUUUGAAAUAGGCUUUGGAAUAAAAGAAAUGGGAAAAAGAAAAUAAAAAGACAAAACCCCUCCUCUCCCUCUUCCUGGCCUGAUGGCCAAAUCCCCCGCGCAACGGCCCACAGUACCCCGCAGCCCAGCUCCCUCUUCCGGCCCAAGCCGCGGGCUGAAGCCCAGCAGCGCAGGCGCGCCCUCCCCUCUCCCUCUUCUCGCUGACACCUAGGCCCCACUUCUUUGUUUCACCGAUAGGUGGGUCCGCCUGGUCAUCCCCUCCACCGAGCGUCACCAGGCCGGACUCGACCGGGAGUUUCCCCGCCGAAUCGAUCCCCGGGGAAACCGCGAAUUCGUUUCCUUUUCCGCCAACCGAGGUCCUAUAAAGUGUUUUCUACAACUCCGCAGUUUCCUUUUGCUCCUAAACCGCGAAUCAAAGCUCUAGCCGCCACGAACGCGGAAGCUCGGAUCUCGCCGAAAACCGCGCGCGUCCUCCACCGCGGCGAGCACUCCCUCCUUCCCAUCAGCGCGAACCGAGCAUCUUGGUGAGUCCGCGGUGAGCUUCUCCUUCACCUGGCGUUUUCCUUUUGUUAAACGGUGCACCGGAACACUUUCCCAACCAACUCCGGCGAGGAGCAAGGCCCUCCGGCCAUGGCGCCACCGCCGGAGGCUCUGUAGCCGGCCAGCACCCCCUCUUCCCUCCUGGGAUUGAUCCAGAGCCGUUCGAUCUAAAACCAACGCGCCAGAUUAGAACUUACCCCUUCGGGGUGAUUUUAUUAAAGAGCCCCUGACGUUUUUAUAUAUGAAACCCGCGGUCCAAAACGUACAGCAUCAAAUACGCUUUCUGAGUUGGAAGACGUAAAGUCUGCCGGCUUGUUUCCAAAUUACGUUUUCAGUAUUUACAGUUUUGCCACCAGAUUUAAAUUGCUUAUAACAUGCUCAUCUUAAAUCCGUUUUGGUCCAUUCAAAUUGCGUUAGGUUCGUAAUUAUGAGCUUUACAUGUUAGUAACAUUAUUUUCUCAGUU